rnacentral:rRNA from 1 species
GUGGUUUAAUUCGAUGCAACGCGAAAACCUUACCACCUUGACAUGGCAGGAAUCCUGAAGAGAUUUGGAGUGCUCGAAAGAGAACCUGCACACAGGUGCUGCAUGGCUGUCGUCAGCUCGUGUCGUGAGAUGUUGGGUUAAGUCCCGCAACGAGCGCAACCCUUGCCAUUAGUUGCUACGAAAGGGCACUCUAAUGGGACUGCCGGUGACAAACCGGAGGAAGGUGGGGAUGACGUCAAGUCCUCAUGGCCCUUAUAGGUGGGGCUACACACGUCAUACAAUGGCCGGUACAGAGGGUAGCCAACCCGCGAGGGGGAGCCAAUCCCACAAAGCCGGUCGUAGUCCGGAUCGCAGUCUGCAACUCGACUGCGUGAAGUCGGAAUCGCUAGUAAUCGCGGAUCAGCAUGUCACGGUGAAUACGUUCCCGGGUCUU